rnacentral:rRNA from 1 species
AUUGAACGCUAGCGGGAUGCUUUACACAUGCAAGUCGAACGAGCGGCGGACGGGUGAGUAAUGUCUGGGGACUGCCCGAUAGAGGGGGAUAACUACUGGAAACGGUAGCUAAUACCGCAUACUAUCGGAUAACCCAUAUGGUAUUAGCUAGUAGGUGAGGUAAUGGCUCCACUAGGCGUCGAUCCCUAGCUGGUAUGAGAGGAUGAUCAGCCACACGGGGACGUAGACACGGCCCAGACUCCGACGGAGGCAGCAGGGGGGAAUAUGGCACAAUGGGCGCAAGCCUGAUACAGCCAUGCCGCGUGUAUGAAGAAGGCCCUAGGGUUGUAAAGUACUUUCAGUCGGGAGGCGUUACCGACAGAAGAAGCACCGGCUAACUCCGUGCCAGCCGCCGCGGUAAUUC